ACAAGUCUUCACCGUGUAAGAAAGUGUGUGUUCUGGGCUGGAUGGUGGUGCUGCCGGAUGAUCCAGCUCAACCCAACAUCUUUCAGCUCAACCAUCCUGACAAAGGGAAUGUUUACAAGUUUCAGACUAGCGAUCGGUUCACUGCGAUCAUGUGGCACAAACACCUGGAGGAGGCCUGUCGGAGAAGAAGACCUCAGAUACCAGCGAAUCUCAUGUCGUUUGAGUAAACGGACUUGUGUAACUCUUGCCUGAAGACAUUUGUAAGGCCUACAGAGAUCGAGAAGAACGUGUUUGGUUCAGCAAAAGGAUGAAAAAAGAGCCAAAACCCUUCAAUACUGAAGAGUCCACUGAGCCAAAGGACUCGCUCUGAUCCACUGGCCCUCCGUGAGCCUCACGGACACAUCUAACAUCAGGAUGUCUGUUACAGAGCCGGACGUGGAGGUUUGCACACUAGUUCUGGUCAGUCUAGUAAAGGGUAUGGAAGGGAGGUAAAUCUGGCCCGUUCCAGCUCCAUCAUGUCUUCUCAGUGGAGACUUUUGGAUCUCAAGGUGUUUGUGUGGCUUCAGUGAAGUACAUUAUGGGAAUUAAAUUAAACAGAAGCUCGAGAUGGGUGUUUUUGUGGUGAUAUAAGUGAGUUUCAGUGUGAAAGAGAAAUCAUGCCGCCUGUAGCAUAAGAAUAAAAAGCCAAACUAACAGACAUUUGCUCCUACAAAGAGCCGUAACAAACAAACCACAGCUGGAUCAGGAAAAAAGAUGAAGACCUAAACCAGCUAAUGAUACUCACUGGUUAAGAGCCGUUUAGUUACAGACUAAUCAUAUCUGCUUUCAGCACAGUGAUUUUUACUUCUGGUUAAUGUUAUGAUGUGAUGAUGCUGUGAGUGUGACUUGCUGACAUCAGGGAUUCUGAAUACACUUUCUGUUUUACUCAUUUUAUACUCGUGAAAGCUUGUUUUGGGCUUUAAGUAUUAACAAAUUAUUAGGCCUUUCCUGUCAAAUGAAGGUUUUACUCACAACUCACAACUUAAACAGCGGAAAUAUGUUGUACAAAAGCAAAAGAUUUUUGUUUGUCACAUCUGAUAGGGUUCCUUGUACAUUAAUGAGACAAUACCAUUUUUAAAACGUGAGCUUAUUUUCCAUUCAGCCCAUCUCACAAAAACAAGAACUGCUUUUUUGAUGAACUUUUUUGAUAUCUCUGAAAUCCUAAACAUUCACGCUAAAUUACCGGGCGAAUCUCACAAAACCUGUCAAAAACUUGUCCGGGUCAUAUCUGACCCCAAAAUGAAUAG